CCUCUCCCAGGAGCCCCGAGCGGGGGCAUGCCAGAGCAGCAGCUCCAACUCCAGGGCUGGAGGGUAGAGGUAUCCUUUGGGGCAGCAAGGGUGAGGGGGACAAAGCAGGAGUCGGACAGGUCACUAGAGCAGCCACUGAAGGAGGGGCACUGAGGCAGAUGGAGUGUGGGCAGGCCCGGGAUGGUUCGUGUCAAGGAAGGGGCAGCUUUUAAACAGCCCCUCCAAAGAGAAGAGCCCAGCCUGAGCCUUUCAAAGUGCAGGUGCAGAGGCAAGCCACAAGAAGAUAAAGGAAUGCAGAAAACGCUCCCGGCACCUGACGGAUGGCCAUCUCCUAAACUCGGCAGCGGUGCAGUGGCCCACCGUCCUCAGAAGGAGAGCCAACACUCCCCGCAGGGAGGGUGCCAGGCAGAAGGGUCUCUCCUGACAUGUUUUACCUCCAGUGAGUGGGGAAGCCAGCUGCCAUGCUGUUGGGUCCUAAAGCAGUGCUAUAGAGAGGUCUUCGUGGUGUGGAACUGAGGCCUCUUUCCAACAGCCCAUGAGGAACUGAAGCCUUGUGCCAACCUCCAGGUACAUGAGCCAUCAAACAAGCAAAUCCUCCAGCCCCAUCAAGAUAUGACUGCAGCCCAGGACAACAGCUUGGCUGUAACUUCAUGAGAGACCUUGAGCCUUAACCACCCAGCUAAGCCAUGUCUGAAUUCUUGACCCACAGAAACUGUGAGAGCACAAAUGUUUGUUAUUUUAAGCUACUAAGUUUGGGGGUAAUUUUUUAUGUAGCUAUAGAUAACCAAUACAUUGAGACAGCGCAAAAGAGCAUCAGAGGGUCUUAUUCUGGCAAUGUAGUAUUUUGGCCCAGAAGAGGCAAAUUUAACUUCUGCCCUCAGCCUGUUAGCCAGAACUGGCUAAAGCAUCAUGCCAAAUUGCCAGGGACCAUGGAAUUCUCCCAUGACUCGGCAAAGACCCAGAUAUGGGCAACUACUACAAGCCUCUAUUACAAAGCAUUUAAGACAUUAAAGAGAGUCUUAUAUAUUUGA